AAUGGCUCCCUGCAAAGAAGGGUAGCGAGAAGAAGGGGUCUUCUGGCAUCAACGAGGUGGUGGCCUGAGACUACACCAUCAGUAUUCACAAGCGUAUCCAUGGAGUGGACUUCAAGAAGUGUGCCUUGCAGGCACUCACAGAAAUCCAGAAAUUGGCUAUGAAGCAGAUGAGGACUCCAGAUGUGCACACUGGACUCCAGAUGUGCACACUGACACCAGGCUCAAUAAAGCUGUCUGGGCCAAGGGAAUAAGGGAUGUUUGGAAUCACAUCUGAGUACGUUUGUCCAGAAAAUGUAGUGAGGAUGAGGAUUCACCAAACAAGCAAUACCUACUGGUAACUUAUGUGUCUGGUACCACAUUAAAAAACCUAUGGACAGUCAAGGUGGAUGAGAAC
rnacentral:lncRNA from 1 species